GACGAACGCUGGCGGCGUGCUUAACACAUGCAAGUCGAACGGAAAGGCCCUGCUUUUGUGGGGUGCUCGAGUGGCGAACGGGUGAGUAACACGUGAGUAACCUGCCCUUGACUUUGGGAUAACUUCAGGAAACUGGGGCUAAUACCGGAUAGGAGCUCCUGCUGCAUGGUGGGGGUUGGAAAGUUUCGGCGGUUGGGGAUGGACUCGCGGCUUAUCAGCUUGUUGGUGGGGUAGUGGCUUACCAAGGCUUUGACGGGUAGCCGGCCUGAGAGGGUGACCGGCGACAUGGGGACUGAGGUACGGCCCAGACUCCUACGGGAGGCAGCAGUGGGGAAUAUUGCACAAUGGGCGGAAGCCUGAUGCAGCAACGCCGCGUGCGGGAUGACGGCCUUCGGGUUGUAAACCGCUUUCGCCUGUGACGAAGCGUUAGUGACGGUAAUGGGUAAAGAAGCACCGGCUAACUACGUG
rnacentral:rRNA from 1 species